ensembl:lncRNA
AUUUAUGAAAAACCCACAGUUAACAUCAUACUCAGUGGUGAAAGAUUAAAAGCUAAGAUUAAAAUUUCCCCCUAAGAUCAUGAACAAGACAAGGAUGCCUGCUUUUACCACUGCUAUUCAUCAUUGUACUGGAAGUUAGGGCCAGAGCGAUAGACAAGAAAAAGAAACAAAAGGCAUCCGUGUUGGAAAGAAAAGUAAGACUAUCUCUAUUCUCAGAUAACAUAUCCCAUAUAUAGAAAAUCUCAAAAAUAAAAGCUACUAAAGCUAGUUAACAAAUUCAGCAAAGUUGUGGGAGUACAAGAACAGCAUACAAAACUCAGUUGUUUCUAUACCCCAGCAAUGAACAAUUUAAAAAGGAAAUUAAGAAAGCAAUUCCAUUUGCAAUAACAUCUAACAGAAUAAAAUACCUAGGAGUAAAUUUAAAAGAAAGACUUGAACACUGAAAACUACAAAACAUUGUGGAAAGAAAUUAAAGACCUAGAUAAAUGGAAAGAAAUCCCAUGUUCAUGGAUGAGACAUCUUAGUAUUAACAUGCCAACGCUAUCCAAAGUGAUCUACAGAUUCAAUGCAAUUACUAUCAAAAUUCUAACAGCUUUUUUUUCAGAAAUAGAAAGGCUGAUCCUGAAAUUCAUAUGAAAUCUCAAGAGGCCUGGAUAGCCAAAACAAUCUUGAAAAAGAACAAGCUGGAGCACUCAAUUUCCCGAUUUCAAAACUUACUACAAAGCUACAGUAAUCUAAACAGUCUGGUACUGGCAUAAGAGUAGAUGAGUAGACCAGUGAAAUAACAUUAAGAGUCCAGAAAUAAACCCAUGCAUCUAUGGCAAACUGAUUUUUAACAAGGGUGCCUCAUCCAUUCAAUGCAGAAAAGAAUAGUCUCUUCAACAGAUGGUGCUAGGACGAAUGGAUAUCCACAGGCAAAAGAAUGAAUUUGGACCCCCACCCCACACCAUAUGUACAAAUGAACUCAAAAUGUAUCAAUGACCUAAAUAUAAGAGCCAAAACCGUACAAUUCUUAGAAGAAAACACAAGGAUACAUCUUCAUGGCCUUGGAUUUGGCAAUGAAUUCUUAUAUAUGACACAAGUAUGAGCACUAAAUAAUAAAUAAAUUGAACUUCACCAAAAUUAAAAACUUUUGUGCAUCAAAGGACAUUAUGAAGAAAGUGAAAAGACAACCUAUGGAAUGGGAGAAAAUGUUUGCAUAUCAUGUAUCUGGUAAGUUUAAUAUCCAGAAUAUGUAAAGAACUCCUACGAUUCAACAACAAAAAAAACCCAAUUCAAAAAUAGGCAAAGGACUUGAAUAGACAUUUCUACAAAGAUAUACAAAUAGCCAACAAGCACAUGAAAAGAUGCUCAACAUCAUUGGUCAUUACAGAAGUGCAAAUCAAAACCACAGUGAGAUCCCACUUCAAACCUGUUAGGAUGGCUAUAAAAAAAUUUCAAAAACCCCAGAAAAUAACAAGUGUUGGUGAGGAUAUGGAGAAAUUGGAACACUUGUGCGUUGUUGGUGGAAAUGUAAAAUGGUGCAGCUACUGUGGAAAACAGUAUGGUGUGUCCAUUAGCAGAGGAAUGGAUAAAUAAAAUGCUGUAUAUACAUACAAUGGAAUAUUAUUCAGCCAUUUUUUUAAAAAAGGCAUAAUUCUGAUACAUGCUAUGACAUAGACAAAUCUUGAAAACAUUAUGCUAAGUGAAAUAAGCAUAAUAAACACAAAAAAUGAAAUAAACACAAAAGGACAGAUAUUGUAUGAUUCCACUUAUAUGAAAUAUCUCUAACAGGCAAAUUAAUAGAGACAGAAAGUAGAUUAGAGGUUACUGGGGGCUGGGGGAAGGGAGGAAUGGGAGCUAUUGCUUAAUGAUUUCAGAGUUUCUGCUUGGAGUGAUGCAAAAGUUUUGGAAACAAGAUAGUGGUGACAGUUGCACAACACUGUGAAUAUAAUUAAUGCCACUGAAUUGUGGACUUAACUGGUUAAAAUGGCAAAUUGUUACGUCUAUUUUACCACAAUGAAAAAGAAAGAAAAAAAUUAUGGGCCUCCAUUUAAAAAAUGCAAAUAAUCAGGUCCCCCUCUCAAGAAUUCUGACAGUACAUCUCAAGAGGGACCCAGAAUCUUGAUUUUAAUAAGCCACUCUUCCCCCAGGGGAUUCUGAUACAGGGAGUCCAAAGAUCUCACUUUGAAA